ensembl:lncRNA
GUUAUAGACACGUUUGAAAACAUUUCACAAAAUUUUUAGUGCUUUUGUAAGUUACACUGUAAAUCUAUACACAGUUCAGAAAUGAACGAGGUGGAGAUGGCGAAGUCCAUUCGCUGGUUGGUGAGGAAGAGGAACAUAUUCAGGAUCACAUUAAAACAAUACAUGGAGAAGAAAUAGAUAGUUGGAUAGGAAUGAGGUUAUAAAAGGAUAUCACAGGCAAAAGCAGGUUGGCUUAAGUGUGCAUUUAUUAAGAAAAAGUGAAAGGGAUGCUCACUGCUCAAUGAGCAGUGGGUAACAUGGACAAUUUGAUGUUAGGGAGUAGACCAGAUCUGUGAAGGGAAAUGCAGUUAAUUUCAUCUUCAUUUGCAUUUUAUUUUGUUCUGAACAUGUGUUCAUGUGGCACUAGGCCUUGUUUAAGAAAAUUGACUUUUGAUGUGCUCAUGUGGCAGAUUUAGCUACUAUAAAAUUGUCCUUUGAAGUUAUAAAAUAACUUUAUAUGAACCUUUGAAAAGUCAUUUUGUAUAAAAUUUGUAUAGCAUUACAGUUUCUGAGAUCAAAACUGUUUUACUUUUAUAAUCAACACCACAACUUACCCCACACCACAUUUUGGGUUUUUUCCAGAAAGCUAUAUUUCUUAAAAAACAUAUUUCAGAUCUACAGUGAUUGUUCCCAGGGGUGCACAACAUCAUGAAACAUAUGUAUUUUUGUUGGAAGCAUUACUGUCAUGGCCUCACUUUAAAGUCAAUGUAAGUAAAAACUGGCACAACUCACCCCACUCUCCCCUUCAUGAUUUGCAGAAAGUUAAAUAAAAGUGGUUUGUAAGCUUUACAGUUUAGCAUCAGAUGGGGAGAAAUAUCUGAGUCUUCAACCACAUCAAUCUUUAUAUUUAUAUAAUCCUAUAAACAUUUUUAAACAUUUUCAACUAAAGAAAAGGCUUUUACACAAACAUACAACAACAUGAAAUAAAUAUUUUAGACCAACAAGAAAUUAGAUCUACUUAAUUUUAAUUUGAAAUGUGCUUCAUAGAUGCUAAAUAACCCAAACUGAGCCAAACACUAUUCAGACUCAGGAUCCUGGACAAGAUUAUUGAUCAUCUGUAAUCCUCAGAAAAUGUUUAUGUUGUUGGUUCAUUCUAAUUAUACACUAUCCAGUCGUCUGCUGGAUGUUCAGGAUAGUUUUAUUCAUCAACUUUAUUUAUUUUUUUUUGUAUUUUCUUUCUUUUUGUAGAUCACAGACCCAACAGCAGCAGCAACAAGAAGCAAACCAAAAAACGUCAAUGCAACAGUUCCUCCUGUCCGACCUGCAGACUACCAGCCAGAAAGACAACAGCUGGAGAAACAUCUGUCUACCUCUGACAUCCACCAGCUCAUCCAUACAGCAAACAAACAUCAACAACCAAGAAGCAGCUUCACCUCUGAUCACACACACACUCAACUCUACUCACUCACCUGGAUCAACUCUCAGAUCCACCCGGUUCUUAAAAGAUGGAUGCUGCUCAUCAAGAUCAAUUGUGGUACAAAAGGACAUUUUCAUCUUCCAGAGACGAGCAGGAGGCAGACACACAGCAAAGUCCAGCAGAGAGACGCAGAAGCUACAGCAGACAUUUCUCACAGAUGUCUGAAUGAUGGUGCGAUUGUUUGAGAAUGCCAUGAAUAAAAACCUGACUAGACCGCAAGUUAUAAAA